rnacentral:lncRNA from 1 species
CAAGCCUGGCCAACACAUGAAACUCUGUCUCUACUAAGAAUACCAAAAAAAAAAAAAAAAAAAAAAAAAGCCACAAUGGUGGUGCAUGCCUGUAAUCUGAGCUACUCGGGAGGCUGAGGCAUGAGAAUCACUUGAACCUGGGAGAAAAAAGAAAGAAAUGCAAGAUAAAACCAGGAAACAUAAUUACACAUCUGCUAAAUUUGAUUUUAUUUCAUUUAAAUUUAAGUCUAAUGAUACUAUGGAGUAUGUAGAAUAGCAGGGACUCAUUCCUAUAAGUACUUGGGAAAAGUGGCAUUAUCUAGUAACAUUGGUCAAAUUUGUACUCUACUCACCGUAUGUGGUUCCUGGACCAGCAGCAUUGGAAUUGUGGGCCUGUAGUCCCAGCUACUCGGGAAGCUGAGGCAGCUGAACCUGGGAGGUGGAGGUUGCAGUGAGCUUCAGGAGGCAGAGGUUGUGGUGAGCCGAGAUCGUGCCAUUGCAUUUCAGCCUGGGCGACAGGAGUGCAACUCCGUCUCCAGGAAAAAAAUAAAAGAAAGAAAGAAAAAAGCAAGAAGCAAGGGUAUAAUUAUCACAAGAGCCAUAUGGGGUUAUCUCUGGGCAGGUGGAGGAAGAAGGUAUGAUAGGUAUACACUGGGGACUUUUAAGAUAUUGGCAAUGUUCUGUUUCAUAACCUGGGCGAUCACUACACAGCUAGCCAUUUUG